rnacentral:misc_RNA from 1 species
UAUGAAGAACGUAGCGAAAUGCGAUAAGUAAUGUGAAUUGCAGAAUUCAGUGAAUCAUCGAAUCUUUGAACGCACAUUGCGCCCGCCAGUAUUCUGGCGGGCAUGCCUGUCCGAGCGUCAUUUCAACCCUCGAACCCCUCCGGGGGGUCGGCGUUGGGGAUCGGCACUUACCUGCCGGCCCCGAAAUACAGUGGCGGUCUCGCCGCAGCCUCUCCUGCGCAGUAGUUUGCACACUCGCACCGGGAGCGCGGCGCGUCCACGGCCGUAAAACAACCCAAACUUCUGAAAUGUUGACCUCGGAUCAGGUAGGAAUACCCGCUGAACUUAAGCAUAUCAAUAAGCGGAGGA